AGGCAAAGUCCUGGGAAUUUGUUUUUGAGAUCUGGGACAAGGAUUCAGGACUUGCCUGUGAAGCUCCCCACCCCGACAAUCCUUAAUUAGCAGCCCAUGAUGGAGAACAGCUCACCAGGCUGAGUGGUGGGAGUAGAGCAGCUGCUGAGGAGGACCAGGAAGCUUAAUCAAUGUGGGACACAUGAUCCGCACGGUGGUGGAGCAGCCUGAUGCAUCCCUCUCCAUUGACAUCAUGUCAAUAGCAGAGCUGGUGUUGAACUGUAUACAUAUGGCACUUGAGCUGCAGGCCCCUGGACCCUUAGAAGAGAACACGGACAGAACCCACAGAUUGGCAUCUCUGGCCCUCUGGCCUAUUGGGGUUUAUACUGUGGCUAGAAGUCCAUGUUCCCUUCCCUGCCACCAAAGUGACCAACUUCUGGAUGGGAGGCUUGGAGCCACAUAUAUCCCUUUCUGCAGGCUCAGUUCUCUUGGCUUCUCUGGAUGCCCUGCCUUUUGAACCCUUUGCUCUGUGCUGGUUCUGCUUUGCCUUCUUGGGGAGCUAGGCACUCAGAAGGAAAGAAUAUGUCACUGCAUCUGACAGCUUUUCAUCACCAGGACCAAAAUGGGAGGAAGAAGAGGAGCAUCAUCGGGACAUGGCAGCAGCAAGAGACACACACAGCCAACUACAGGGCCCAGAAGAGAGGCACACCUACCACCUUUAGUCUGAGGGUUGAAGAAGAAAGCUGUCCAGAAUGUGUCAGUUAUGGCACACCAGCAUCGCAAGGACGUCACUAAGAGACCCGUAACCAAGAUGCAAGAAGAAUCAGGCAAACACUGACCAACUAGGCCUCCCUCCAAAGGCAUCCAACACCUGACUGGACCUUGACUCCCAACUCCCCACACCAAUCCUGGCUGGUCAGGAGUUAGGGACAAAUGCUUUAGCCCCAAAAGACUAAAAUCCUCCUACGCCAAUGGUAGAUGCUGUUAUUAAAUGUUUCGGCAGCAAAAUUAAAUAAGAAUAACCAGUAUUUUGAAAUUCUGAACAUCUUAUAAUUAGACCGGCCUUUUAAAAAAGUAUUCCAACUUAAGGCACAUUGGAAUGUAGCCCACAACACAGAGACAGCCUGACAAAGAAACAUUAUUCUUAGAUUUACAAUUAAUUACCCUUAUGUCUAUACCUUGCAUUCAAUUUGCAUAUCUUAAAACUGCUGUAAAUUUCCCGGGACUCCUUAUUAUUUAAGAUCAUUCCGCUUAGUAAAAAGUUUCUUCCGUAGUAACUUUCUGUUGAUUGGUCAGUAAAUCUGGCUCCGCUUUGCUUUGUA